rnacentral:rRNA from 1 species
UACGGAGGGAGCUAGCGUUGUUCGGAAUUACUGGGCGUAAAGCGCACGUAGGCGGCUAUUCAAGUCGGGGGUGAAAGCCCGGGGCUCAACCCCGGAACUGCCCUCGAAACUAGGUAGCUAGAAUCUUGGAGGGGUCAGUGGAAUUCCGAGUGUAGAGGUGAAAUUCGUAGAUAUUCGGAAGAACACCAGUGGCGAAGGCGACUUACUGGACACAUAUUGACGCUGAGGUGCGAAAGCGUGGGGAGCAAACAGG